GUGGGGAAUUUUGGACAAUGGGCGCAAGCCUGAUCCAGCCAUUCCGCGUGCAGGAUGAAGGCCCUCGGGUUGUAAACUGCUUUUGUACGGAACGAAAAGGCUCUCUCUAAUACAGGGGGCUCAUGACGGUACCGUAAGAAUAAGCACCGGCUAACUACGUGCCAGCAGCCGCGGUAAUACGUAGGGUGCAAGCGUUAAUCGGAAUUACUGGGCGUAAAGCGUGCGCAGGCGGUGAUGUAAGACAGUUGUGAAAUCCCCGGGCUCAACCUGGGAACUGCAUCUGUGACUGCAUCGCUGGAGUGCGGCAGAGGGGGAUGGAAUUCCGCGUGUAGCAGUGAAAUGCGUAGAUAUGCGGAGGAACACCGAUGGCGAAGGCAAUCCCCUGGGCCUGCACUGACGCUCAUGCACGAAAGCGUGGGGAGCAAACAGGAUUAGAUACCCUGGUAGUCC
rnacentral:rRNA from 1 species